rnacentral:lncRNA from 1 species
UUUUAAUACACAUUUUCAUUUUUCUGAUUGUCAUUUAAAAUGCCUUAUAUUAUGCAGUAAUAUUAUAACAUUUUGUAUUAAUUGAACUAGUAAUAAAGUUGAUUGUUUAUCUCUUAGUAAUUUCUAAAACAUUAUUGAAUGUUGCCAAAGUUAUGGAACUUGUUUUAGUACAGCAUGUGCUUUCUCUGUUAUAGCCAGUUGAGUGCAACUGCAUGAUAGAAACCUUAUAAGGGUGAUAUAUAGUUAUAAAUUAAGAAUGUGUAUUGAUAAAUUAGCCAUGCAUAUUAAUUUGUGGCACUCAAAGUUUCACAUAGACAUAGAAAUGAAUAAUGUCUUCUGCCACUAUAUGAUGAUCAAACUGUGCAGUUCCAUCUCUAAAUACAAUUGCUGAAUGAAAAUAUGCUUCCUGCAACAGAGCACUCCACAUUUUAUGUUAUCCAGAUUAUUCCCUUUGGAAACAUAAAUUGCUUUUAUGAGGUAUAAAAUUAUGUCUAUUGCAGAACAGGGAUAAGUCAAGUACAUGCAUAAGUGAUAAACAUUCUAACCACUGAUUCAGAACAAAACAAUCUUUUUU